rnacentral:rRNA from 1 species
GGCGGACGGGUGAGUAACGCGUGGGAACCUGCCCUGGAGCGGGGGACAACCACUGGAAACGGUGGCUAAUACCGCAUACGCCCUCAGGGGGAAAGGCUUCGGCCACUCUAAGACGGUCCCGCGUCUGAUUAGCUUGUUGGUAAGGUAACGGCUUACCAAGGCGACGAUCAGUAGCUGGUCUGAGAGGAUAAUCAGCCACACUGGGACUGAGACACGGCCCAGACUCC